UACGUAAGGGGCGAGCGUUAUCCGGAAUCACUGGGCGUAAAGGGUGCGUAGGCGGCUUUAUAAGCCAGGGGUGAAAGGCUACGGCUUAACCGUAGUAAGCCCUUGGAACUGUAUGGCUUGAGUGCAGGAGAGGAGAGUGGAAUUCCUAGUGUAGCGGUGAAAUGCGUAGAUAUUAGGAGGAACACCAGUGGCGAAGGCGACUCUCUGGACUGUAACUGACGCUGAGGCACGAAAGCGUGGGGAGC
rnacentral:rRNA from 1 species